rnacentral:rRNA from 1 species
AGUCGAGCGGUAGCACAAGGGAGCUUGCUCCCUGGGUGACGAGCGGCGGACGGGUGAGUAAUGUCUGGGAAACUGCCUGAUGGAGGGGGAUAACUACUGGAAACGGUAGCUAAUACCGCAUAACGUCGCAAGACCAAAGAGGGGGACCUUCGGGCCUCUUGCCAUCAGAUGUGCCCAGAUGGGAUUAGCUAGUAGGUGGGGUAAUGGCUCACCUAGGCGACGAUCCCUAGCUGGUCUGAGAGGAUGACCAGCCACACUGGAACUGAGACACGGUCCAGACUCCUACGGGAGGCAGCAGUGGGGAAUAUUGCACAAUGGGCGCAAGCCUGAUGCAGCCAUGCCGCGUGUGUGAAGAAGGCCUUCGGGUUGUAAAGCACUUUCAGCGAGGAGGAAGGUGGUGAACUUAAUACGCUCAUCAAUUGACGUUACUCGCAGAAGAAGCACCGGCUAACUCCGUGCCAGCAGCCGCGGUAAUACGGAGGGUGCAAGCGUUAAUCGGAAUUACUGGGCGUAAAGCGCACGCAGGCGGUUUGUUAAGUCAGAUGUGAAAUCCCCGGGCUCAACCUGGGAACUGCAUUUGAAAACUGGCAAGCUAGAGUCUCGUAGAGGGGGGGUAGAAUUUCCAGGUGUAGCGGUGAAAUGCGUAGAGAUCUGGAGGAAUACCGGUGGGCGAAAGCGGCCCCCUGGA